CCCAGCAGUAGUCAGCUGCCCGUGGCUGCUCAGUGCCUGUGCCAGUGUUAUGCUGCUGGGAGAGGAAGGUGCUGCUGAGCUUUCCUGGCACCGGUGGGGCCAUCCUGGUGCUCAGUGGUGCCAGGUUUUGGCAGCACUCUGCACGCCCGAGAGUGGAGUUACAGCCUAGAUUGGAUGCGGACAAC